GCUAGGUUCUUUAAAGUUAUUUUCUUUUCCUCAAAAGUUUGAUGAAAGUGAACUUACAACCAUCAUUCUUUUUUUACAAGCUUUUUUAGGCAAAUUAUUAAAAAUAUAAAUAAAGGCAUUCAUUUCUAGAUAACUUUAAUCAACGUAUAUUUUUAUUAAUUAUAAGAAUUCCAAGUCUACAUCAUUAACCAUCCUAGAACUAAGGUUGUAGAACUGUUGGACUUGCCAUACUGCCCCUUUG
rnacentral:lncRNA from 1 species